GAACACUUCCAGAUUGACCACAGAACCAAUGGGAGCCUGAGACUUUCAGACUGAUAGACCGCAGCUUGAGUUGAUGAGAUCACAGCUGUUCGGAUGUUCGGAGGGUCCCUUUCCCCCAAUGGAGAACAAUUUGUUGGAGCUAAAUCUGGAGAAUCAAAAGACGAAGUCCUUGGCAUGAAGGGCUUUGAGCAGAUGUAAAAGUUAAUGAGAUUAAAUAAAUGCAAUAAGAAAGAAAAGAAUGUUCUAACAACUAAAAAUGAGACUGGGCGAGAGGAAAGCAGUGCUGCUGGCCAUCAGUGAACAGAUAGAAAUGGAGAUGUUUUCUUCAGAGGAGUGCUGUCUGGUGAAAAAGCAAGAGAAAAAAGAAGAAAACAACUUUGAGCGGAAGUACAGGUACCUGGAACAUCCCCUUGAACCUGACUGUGAAGAGAGUCAAGAGGAAGAUUUCCAGGUCCAACCCAGGCAGCAGACGCAUCUCAAAGCAAAGCUUUCUGUUCAAGAGGAGCCCCAGUACUACCCUCACAUCCUCAAGUUAACAGAUGAAAUGGAGCUGGAGUCAUUUCCUCCCAUCAGAUUUUCAGAUAUUGAACUGGUGGAGAUACAUUCAGGUGAUUCUUCUGUCGUGACCCCGCGAUCCCUUCGGAAAACUGCUUCUGUAAAAUGGAAGAGCCUGACGCCUCAGAAGACAGGACUGGAGGUUAAAGAUGUGAUCUGUUUAACCAGAAGACAUUACAUGACUCAGCUGGAGAGACAAAACUAUCCAGAGAACAGUGUGAGGCCAGCGUCUGGGCUGACCGCUCGCAUCACCAUCGACCACAGCUGGUCAGCAGGUCAGGUGGAAGGUCGUCUGACGCUGCUGUUCUGGGACUGGUUUGUAAAAAAAGUGGGACAAAAGUUUUCAUUCACAUAUCUACAGUGUGUGCAGGGCUCUAAAGCACUCUUUGUACCUGACACCCCAGCUGAGGGCUGGACAGGGGAGCAGGUACUCAGGAUAUCUGGACGGGGCGCUUUGUAUAUUAUCAGUCACCAGGACUACCCACAGGCAGAAUGUAAACGACAGACAUCUUUGCCAAGCAGGUGA
rnacentral:lncRNA from 1 species